rnacentral:rRNA from 1 species
UACGUAGGACGCAAGCGUUGUCCGGAAUCACUGGGUGUAAAGGGUGCGUAGGCGGGAAGGUAAGUCAGUGGUGAAAUCUCACGGCUCAACCGUGAAACUGCCGUUGAUACUGCUUUUCUUGAGUUUGGGAGAGGUCGAUGGAAUUCCAGGUGUAGCGGUGAAAUGCGUAGAUAUCUGGAAGAACACCAGUGGCGAAGGCGGUCGACUGGCCCAUAACUGACGCUGAGGCACGAAAGCGUGGGGAGCGAACAGG